CUGCUGGCUUCCACAGCACAUUCCCUGAAAUCGGACCGAUACAGGCAUUAGCGUGGCCCCUGCGCAUGGAUGACACACAAAUUCAUGAAGCGUUAAAAAAAAUA